rnacentral:lncRNA from 1 species
UCUAGCAUUUCAGGGAUUUCUGGGAAGACUUAUUUAAUCUACCUUGUCAUGUGCUGACAUUUAAUAAACACCUCACUCCUUUCCAGGUAUUUUUAACAGUGAGCUGCAGAAGAGUAAAUCCCUGGCCAGUUAACAGUAUUGAAAUGACCGAACAGCUUCUCUCUUGAAAAACAAGACUAAUGGUCUGUGGGAAUUCUGGGAAGGUGGUAGAGAAGCAUCAGGUGUUAUAGGAGAAAAGGCCUUCAAUUGUCUUAAGGUACGUGAGAAUUCAGUAACUGGUUCCAGAGGUUGUUUAUGGUAUUUUACUAUUGGAGUCACU